ACAGAGGCCGCCCGCCAAGUAUGGUGCCAUUCCGAGUCCCGCGGACGAACUUCGCCCACGCCCCCCACCAAGGCUAUAGCCCACCCGUUUUUUGGCCAGUUUUCCGCUGGGGAGUCUUGGGUCCCCGACCAUCGGGGGCUUAUUUUCGGGCGCGGCUGUGCCCGUGGCCUAUUUUUGGCACACAGAGGCCGCCCGCCAAGUAUGGUGCCAUUCCGAGUCGCGCGGACGAACUUCGCCCACGCCCCCCACCAAGGCUAUAGCCCACCCGUUUUUUGGCCAUUUUUCCGCUGGGGGGUCUUGGGACCCCGACCUUCGGGGGCUGAUUUUUGGGCGCGGCUGUGCCCGUGGCCUAUUUUUGGUACACAGAGGCCGCCCGCCAAGUAUGGUGCCAUUCCGAGUCCCGCGGACGAACUUCGCCCACGCCCCCCACCAAGGCUAUAGCCCACGCGUUUUUUGGCCAUUUUUCCGCUGGGGGGUCUUGGGUCCCCGACCUUCGGGGGCUGAUUUUUGGGCGCGGCUGUGCCCGUGGCCUAUUUUUGGCACACAGAGGCCGCCCGCCAAGUAUGGUGCCAUUCCGAGUCCCGCGGACGAACUUCGCCCACGCCCCCCACCAAGGCUAUAGCCCACCCGUUUUUUGGCCAUUUCUCCGCUGGGGGGUCUUGGGACCCCGACCUUCGGGGGCUGAUUUUUGGGAGAGGCUGUGCCCGUGGCCUAUUUUUAGCACACGGAUGCCCCCCGCCAAGUCUGGUGCCAUUCCGAGUCCCGCGGACGAACUUCGCCCACGCCGCCCACCAAGGCUAUAGCCCACCCGUUUUUUGGCCAUUUUUCCGCUGGGGGGUCUUGGGACCCCGACCUUCGGGGGCUGAUUUUUGGGCGCGGCUGUGCCCGUGGCCCCAUUUUUGGUACACAGAGGCCGCCCGCCAAGUAUGGUGCCAUUCCGAGUCCCGCGGACGAACUUCGCCCACGCCGCCCACCAAGGCUAUAGCCCACCCGUUUUUUGGCCAGUUUUCCGCUGGGGGGUCUUGGGACCCCGACCAUCGGGGGCUGAUUUUUGGGCGCGGCUGUGCCCGUUGCCUAUUUUUGGCACACAGAGGCCGCCCGCCAAGUAUGGUGCCAUUCCGAGUCCCGCGGACGAACUUCGCCCACGCCGCCCACCAAGGCUAUAGCCCACCCGUUUUUUGGCCAUUUUUCCGCUGGGGGGUCUUGGGACCCCGACCUUCGGGGGCUGAUUUUUGGGCGCGGCUGUGCCCGUGGCCUAUUUUUGGUACACAGAGGCCGCCCGCCAAGUAUGGUGCCAUUCCGAGUCCCGCGGACGAACUUCGCCCACGCCCCCCACCAAGGCUAUAGCCCACCCGUUUUUUGGCCAGUUUUCCGCUGGGGAGUCUUGGGACCCCGACCAUCGGGGGCUGAUUUUUGGGCGCGGCUGUGCCCGUGGCCUAUUUUUGGCACACAGAGGCCGCCCGCCAAGUAUGGUGCCAUUCCGAGUCCCGCGGACGAACUUCGCCCACGCCCCCCACCAAGGCUAUAGCCAACCCGUUUUUUGGCCAUUUUUCCGCUGGGGGGUCUUGGGACCCCGACCUUCGGGGGCUGAUUUUUGGGCGCGGCUGUGCCCGUGGCCUAUUUUUGGCACACAGAGGCCGCCCGCCAAGUAUGGUGCCAUUCCGAGUCCCGCGGACGAACUUCGCCCACGCCGCCCACCAAGGCUAUAGCCCACCCGUUUUUUGGCCAUUUUUCCGCUGGGGGGUCUUGGGACCCCGACCUUCGGGGGCUGAUUUUUGGGCGCGGCUGUGCCCGUGGCCUAUUUUUGGUACACAGAGGCCGCCCGCCAAGUAUGGUGCCAUUCCGAGUCCCGCGGACGAACUUCGCCCACGCCCCCCACCAAGGCUAUAGCCCACCCGUUUUUUGGCCAUUUUUCCACUGGGGGGUCUUGGGACCCCGACCUUCGGGGGCUGAUUUUUGGGCGCGGCUGUGCCCGUGGCCUAUUUUUGGCACACAGAGGCCGCCCGCCAAGUAUGGUGCCAUUCCGAGUCCCGCGGACGAACUUCGCCCACGCCCCCCACCAAGGCUAUAGCCCACCCGUUUUUUGGCCAUUUUUCCGCUGGGGGGUCUUGGGACCCCGACCUUCGGGGGCUGAUUUUUGGGCGCGGCUGUGCCCGUGGCCUAUUUUUGGCACACAGAGGCCGCCCGCCAAGUAUGGUGCCAUUCCGAGUCCCGCGGACGAACUUCGCCCACGCCCCCCACCAAGGCUAUAGCCCACCCGUUUUUUGGCCAUUUUUCCGCUGGGGGGUCUUGGGACCCCGACCUUCGGGGGCUGAUUUUUGGGCGCGGCUGUGCCCGUGGCCUAUUUUUGGCACACAGAGGCCGCCCGCCAAGUAUGGUGCCAUUCCGAGUCCCGCGGACGAACUUCGCCCACGCCGCCCACCAAGGCUAUAGCCCACCCGUUUUUUGGCCAUUUUUCCGCUGGGGGGUCUUGGGACCCCGACCUUCGGGGGCUGAUUUUUGGGCGCGGCUGUGCCCGUGGCCUAUUUUUGGUACACAGAGGCCGCCCGCCAAGUAUGGUGCCAUUCCGAGUCCCGCGGACGAACUUCGCCCACGCCCCCCACCAAGGCUAUAGCCCACCCGUUUUUUGGCCAUUUUUCCGCUGGGGGGUCUUGGGACCCCGACCUUCGGGGGCUGAUUUUUGGGCGCGGCUGUGCCCGUGGCCUAUUUUUGGCACACAGAGGCCGCCCGCCAAGUAUGGUGCCAUUCCGAGUCCCGCGGACGAACUUCGCCCACGCCGCCCACCAAGGCUAUAGCCCACCCGUUUUUUGGCCAUUUUUCCGCUGGGGGGUCUUGGGACCCCGACCUUCGGGGGCUGAUUUUUGGGCGCGGCUGUGUCCGUGGCCUACUUUUGGCACACAGAGGCCGCCCGCCAAGUAUGGUGCCAUUCCGAGUCCCGCGGACGAACUUCGCCCACGCCGCCCACCAAGGCUAUAGCCCACCCGUUUUUUGGCCAUUUUUCCGCUGGGGGGUCUUGGGACCCCGACCUUCGGGGGCUGAUUUUUGGGCGCGGCUGUGCCCGUGGCCUAUUUUUGGCACACGGAGGCCGCCCGCCAAGUCAGGGGCCAUUCCGAGUCCCGCGGACGAAGUUCGCCCACGCCCCCCACCAAGGCUAUAGCCCACCCGUUUUUUGGCCAUUUUUCCGCUGGGGGGUCUUGGGACCCCGACCUUCGGGGGCUGAUUUUUGGGCGCGGCUGUGCCCGUGGCCUAUUUUUGGCACACGGAGGCCGCCCGCCAAGUCAGGGGCCAUUCCGAGUCCCGCGGACGAAGUUCGCCCACGCCCCCCACCACGGCUAUAGCCCACCCGUUUUUUGGCCAUUUUUCCACUGGGGGGUCUUGGGACCCCGACCUUCGGGGGCUGAUUUUUGGGCGCGGCUGUGCCCGUGGCCUAUUGUUGGCACACGGAGGCCGCCCGCCAAGUCAGGGGCCAUUCCGAGUCCCGCGGACGAACUUCGCCCACGCCCCCCACCAAGGCUAUAGCCCACCCGUUUUUUGGCCAUUUUUCCGCUGGGGGGUCUUGGGACCCCGACCUUCGGGGUCUGAUUUUUGGGCGCGGCUGUGCCCGUGGCCUAUUUUUGGCACACGGAGGCCGCCCGCCAAGUCAGGGGCCAUUCCGAGUCCCGUGGACGAAGUUCGCCCACGCCCCCCACCAAGGCUAUAGCCCACCCGUUUUUGGCCAUUUUCCGCUGGGGGAUCUUGGGACCCCGACCUUCGGGGGCUGAUUUUUGGGCGCGGCUGUGCCCGUGGCCUAUUUUUGGCACACGGAGGCCGCCCGCCAAGUAAGGUGCCAUUCCGAGUCCCGCGGACGAACUUCGCCCACGCCCCCCACCAAGGCUAUAGCCCACCCGUUUUUUGGCCAUUUUUCCGCUGGGGGGUCUUGGGACCCCGACCUUCGGGGGCUGAUUUUUGGGCGCGGCUGUGCCCGUGGCCUAUUUUUGGCACACGGAGGCCGCCCGCCAAGUAUGGUGCCAUUCCGAGUCCCGCGGACGAACUUCGCCCACGCCGCCCACCAAGGCUAUAGCCCACCCGUUUUUUGGCCAUUUUUCCGCUGGGGGGUCUUGGGACCCCGACCUUCGGGGGCUGAUUUUUGGGCGCGGCUGUGCCCGUGGCCUAUUUUUGGCACACGGAGGCCGCCCGCCAAGUCAGGUGCCAUUCCGAGUCCCGCGGACGAAGUUUGCCCACGCCCCCCACCAAGGCUAUAGCCCACCCGUUUUUUGGCCAUUUUUCCGCUGGGGGGUCUUGGGACCCCGACCUUCGGGGGCUGAUUUUUGGGCGCGGCUGUGCCCGUGGCCUAUUUUUGGCACACGGAGGCCGCCCGCCAAGUAUGGUGCCAUUCCGAGUCCCGCGGACGAACUUCGCCCACGCCGCCCACCAAGGCUAUAGCCCACCCGUUUUUUGGCCAUUUUUCCGCUGGGGGGUCUUGGGACCCCGACCUUCGGGGGCUGAUUUUUGGGCGCGGCUGUGCCCGUGGCCUAUUUUUGGUACCCGGAGGCCGCCCGCCAAGUCAGGGGCCAUUCCGAGUCCCGCGGACGAAGUUCGCCCACGCCCCCCACCAAGGCUAUAGCCCACCCGUUUUUUGGCCAUUUUUCCGCUGGGGGGUCUUGGGACCUCGACCUUCGGGGGCUGAUUUUUGGGCGCGGCUGUGCCCGUGUCCUAUUUUUGGCACACGGAGGCCGCCCGCCAAGUCAGGGGCCAUUCCGAGUCCCGCGGACGAAGUUCGCCCACGCCCCCCACCAAGGCUAUAGCCCACCCGUUUUUUGGCCAUUUUUCCGCUGGGGGGUCUUGGGACCCCGACCUUCGGGGGCUGAUUUUUGGGCGCGGCUGUGCCCGUGGCCUAUUUUUGGCACACAGAGGCCGCCCGCCAAGUAUGGUGCCAUUCCGAGUCCCGCGGACGAACUUCGCCCACGCCGCCCACCAAGGCUAUAGCCCACCCGUUUUUUGACCAUUUUUCCGCUGGGGGGUCUUGGGACCCCGACCUUCGGGGGCUGAUUUUUGGGCGCGGCUGUGCCCGUGGCCUAUUUUUGGUACCCGGAGGCCGUCCGCCAAGUCAGGGGCCAUUCCGAGUCCCGCGGACGAAGUUCGCCCACGCCCCCCACCAAGGCUAUAGCCCACCCGUUUUUUGGCCAUUUUUCCGCUGGGGGGUCUUGGGACCCCGACCUUUGGGGGCUGAUUUUUGGGCGCGGCUGUGCCCGUGGCCUAUUUUUGGCACACGGAGGCCGCCCGCCAAGUCAGGGGCCAUUCCGAGUCCCGCGGACGAAGUUCGCCCACGCCCCCCACCAAGGCUAUAGCCCACCCGUUUUUUGGCCAUUUUUCCGCUGGGGGGUCUUGGGACCCCGACCUUCGGGGGCUGAUUUUUGGGCGCGGCUGUGCCCGUGGCCUAUUUUUGGCACACAGAGGCCGCCCGCCAAGUAUGGUGCCAUUCCGAGUCCCGCGGACGAACUUCGCCCACGCCCCCCACCAAGGCUAUAGCCCCACCCGUUUUUUGGCCAUUUUUCCCGCUUGGGGGGGUCUUGGGACCCCGACCUUCGGGGGCUGAUUUUUGGGCGCGGCUGUGCCCGUGGCCUAUUUUUGGCACACGGAGACCGCCCGCCAAGUAUGGUGCCAUUCCGAGUCCCGCGGACGAACUUCGCCCACGCCCCCCACCAAGGCUAUAGCCCACCCGUUUUUUGGCCAUUUUUCCGCUGGGGGGUCUUGGGACCCCGACCUUCGGGGGCUGAUUUUUGGGCGCGGCUGUGCCCGUGGCCUAUUUUUGGCACACGGAGGCCGCCCGCCAAGUAUGGUGCCAUUCCGAGUCCCGCGGACGAACUUCGCCCACGCCGCCCACCAAGGCUAUAGCCCACCCGUUUUUUGGCCAUUUUUCCGCUGGGGGGUCUUGGGACCCCGACCUUCGGGGGCUGAUUUUUGGGCGCGGCUGUGCCCGUGGCCUAUUUUUGGCACACGGAGGCCGCCCGCCAAGUCAGGGGCCAUUCCGAGUCCCGCGGACGAAGUUCGCCCACGCCCCACACCAAGGCCAUAGCCCACCCGUUUUUUGGCCAUUUUUCCGCUGGGGGGUCUUGGGACCCCGACCUUCGGGGGCUGAUUUUUGGGCGCGGCUGUGCCCGUGGCCUAUUUUUGGCACACAGAGGCCGCCCGCCAAGUAUGGUGCCAUUCCGAGUCCCGCGGACGAACUUCGCCCACGCCGCCCACCAAGGCUAUAGCCCACCCGUUUUUUGGCCAUUUUUCCGCUGGGGGGUCUUGGGACCUCGACCUUCGGGGGCUGAUUUUUGGGCGCGGCUGUGCCCGUGUCCUAUUUUUGGCACACGGAGGCCGCCCGCCAAGUCAGGGGCCAUUCCGAGUCCCGCGGACGAAGUUCGCCCACGCCCCCCACCAAGGCUAUAGCCCACCCGUUUUUUGGCCAUUUUUCCGCUGGGGGGUCUUGGGACCCCGACCUUCGGGGGCUGAUUUUUGGGCGCGGCUGUGCCCGUGGCCUAUUUUUGGCACACGGAGGCCGCCCGCCAAGUCAGGGGCCAUUCCGAGUCCCGCGGACGAACUUCGCCCACGCCCCCCACCAAGGCUAUAGCCCACCCGUUUUUUGGCCAUUUUUCCGCUGGGGGGUCUUGGGACCCCGACCUUCGGGGGCUGAUUUUUGGGCGCGGCUGUGCCCGUGGCCUAUUUUUGGCACACAGAGGCCGCCCGCCAAGUAUGGUGCCAUUCCGAGUCCCGCGGACGAACUUCGCCCACGCCCCCCACCAAGGCUAUAGCCCACCCGUUUUUUGGCCAUUUUUCCGCUGGGGGGUCUUGGGACCCCGACCUUCGGGGGCUGAUUUUUGGGCGCGGCUGUGCCCGUGGCCUAUUUUUGGCACACGGAGGCCGCCCGCCAAGUCAGGGGCCAUUCCGAGUCCCGCGGACGAAGUUCGCCCACGCCCCCCACCAAGGCUAUAGCCCACCCGUUUUUUGGCCAUUUUUCCGCUGGGGGGUCUUGGGACCCCGACCUUCGGGGUCUGAUUUUUGGGCGCGGCUGUGCCCGUGGCCUAUUUUUGGCACACAGAGGCCGCCCGCCAAGUAUGGUGCCAUUCCGAGUCCCGCGGACGAACUUCGCCCACGCCCCCCACCAAGGCUAUAGCCCACCCGUUUUUUGGCCAUUUUUCCGCUGGGGGGUCUUGGGACCCCGACCUUCGGGGGCUGAUUUUUGGGCGCGGCUGUGCCCGUGGUCUAUUUUUGGCACACGGAGGCCGCCCGCCAAGUCAGGGGCCAUUCCGAGUCCCGCGGACGAACUUCGCCCACGCCGCCCACCAAGGCUAUAGCCCACCCGUUUUUUGGCCAUUUUUCCGCUGGGGGGUCUUGGGACCCCGACCUUCGGGGGCUGAUUUUUGUGCGCGGCUGUGCCCGUGGCCUAUUUUUGGCACACAGAGGCCGCCCGCCAAGUAUGGUGCCAUUCCGAGUCCCGCGGACGAACUUCGCCCACGCCCCCCACCAAGGCUAUAGCCCACCCGUUUUUUGGCCAUUUUUCCGCUGGGGGGUCUUGGGACCCCGACCUUCGGGGGCUGAUUUUUGGGCGCGGCUGUGCCCGUGGCCUAUUUUUGGCACACGGAGGCCGCCCGCCAAGUCAGGGGCCAUUCCGAGUCCCGCGGAUGAAGUUCGCCCACGCCCCCCACCAAGGCUAUAGCCCACCCGUUUUUUGGCCAUUUUUCCACUGGGGGGUCUUGGGACCCCGACCUUCGGGGGCUGAUUUUUGUACGCGGCUGUGCCCGUGGCCUAUUUUUGGCACACAGAGGCCGCCCGCCAAGUAUGGUGCCAUUCCGAGUCCCGCGGACGAACUUCGCCCACGCCCCCCACCAAGGCUAUAGCCCACCCGUUUUUUGGCCAUUUUUCCGCUGGGGGGUCUUGGGACCCCGACCUUCGGGGGCUGAUUUUUGGGCGCGGCUGUGCCCGUGGCCUAUUUUUGGCACACGGAGGCCGCCCGCCAAGUCAGGGGCCAUUCCGAGUCCCGCGGACGAAGUUCGCCCACGCCCCCCACGAAGGCUAUAGCCCACCCAUUUUUUGGCCAUUUUUCCACUGGGGGGUCUUGGGAGCCCGACCUUCGGGGGCUGAUUUUUGUGCGCGGCUGUGCCCGUGGCCUAUUUUUGGCACACAGAGGCCGCCCGCCAAGUAUGGUGCCAUUCCGAGUCCCGCGGACGAACUUCGCCCACGCCGCC
rnacentral:lncRNA from 1 species